UACGUAGGGGGCAAGCGUUGUCCGGAAUCAUUGGGCGUAAAGAGCGUGUAGGCGGUUCGGUAAGUCCGCUGUGAAAGUCCAGGGCUCAACCCUGGAAAGCCGGUGGAAACCGUAAGGCUAGAGUCCGGAAGAGGAGAGUGGAAUUCCUGGUGUAGCGGUGAAAUGCGCAGAUAUCAGGAGGAACACCCGUGGCGAAGGCGGGUCUCUGGGCAGUAACUGACGCUGAGGAGCGAAAGCGUGGGGAGCGAACAGG
rnacentral:rRNA from 1 species